UACGUAGGAGACGAGCGUUGUCCGGAAUUACUGGGCGUAAAGCGCGUGUAGGCGGAUGGGCAAGUCUGCUGUGAAAGCUCCUGGCUUAACCGGGAGUAGUCGGUGGAAACUGCCAAUCUGGAGGACGGUAGAGGUAGGUAGAAUUCCCGGUGUAGUGGUGAAAUGCGUAGAGAUCGGGAGGAAUACCUGCGGCGAAGGCGGGUUGCUGGGCCGACACUGACGCUGAUGCGCGAAAGCCAGGGGAGCGAACGGG
rnacentral:rRNA from 1 species